rnacentral:rRNA from 1 species
AUUGAACGCUGGCGGCAUGCUUUACACAUGCAAGUCGAGCGGCAGCGCGGGGGCAACCCUGGCGGCGAGCGGCGAACGGGUGAGUAAUGCAUCGGAACGUAUCCUCGAGUGGGGGAUAACCCAGCGAAAGUUGGGCUAAUACCGCAUGAGCUCUAAGGAGGAAAGCGGGGGACCUGCGAGGGCCUCGCGCUGGAGGAGCGGCCGAUGUCCGAUUAGCUAGUUGGUGGGGUAAAGGCUUACCAAGGCGACGAUCGGUAGCUGGUCUGAGAGGAUGAUCAGCCACACUGGGACUGAGACACGGCCCAGACUCCUACGGGAGGCAGCAGUGGGGAAUUUUGGACAAUGGGGGCAACCCUGAUCCAGCCAUGCCGCGUGAGUGAAGAAGGCCUUCGGGUUGUAAAGCUCUUUCGGACGGAACGAAAUGGGCGGGACUAAUACUCCUGUCUGAUGACGGUACCGUAAGAAGAAGCACCGGCUAACUACGUG